GACGAACCGUGCUAACGUUGUUCGGAAUCACUGGGCUUAAAGGGCGCGUAGGCGGGCCGGCCAGUCAGGGGUGAAAGCCCGCGGCUCAACCGCGGAAGGGCCUUUGAUACUGCCGGCCUCGAGCGAGGUAGGGGCGUGCGGAACUUCCGGUGGAGCGGUGAAAUGCGUAGAUAUCGAGAGGAACACCUGCGGCGAAGGCGGGUUGCUGGGCUGACACUGACGCUGAUUGUGCGAAAGCUAGGGGAGCGAACGGG
rnacentral:rRNA from 1 species